rnacentral:tRNA from 1 species
AAUUAGAUAGCAAUAAGGUGCAUGGUUUUGAUAUAACUAAUAUGUAAUUAAAUUAAUUACUCUAAUUU